GUGCUGGUUUCGGCAGCACACACAGUAAACUUGGAAUGACAGAGAAGCUUAGUGUGGCCCUGCGCGAGGCAGACAUGCAAAGUCGUGAAGCGUUCCGUAUUUUU
rnacentral:snRNA from 1 species